rnacentral:tRNA from 1 species
UGCCUUGGUGGCGAAAUCGGUAGACGCACAGGACUUAAAAUCCUGUGGUAAUUAUUACCGUGCCGGUUCAAGUCCGGCCCGAGGCACCAC